CCUACGGGAGGCAGCAGUGAGGAAUAUUGGUCAAUGGACGAGAGUCUGAACCAGCCAAGUAGCGUGAAGGAUGACUGCCCUAUGGGUUGUAAACUUCUUUUAUAUGGGAAUAAAAUGUUCCACGUGUGGGAUUUUGUAUGUACCAUAUGAAUAAGGAUAGGCUAACUCCGUGCCAGCAGCCGCGGUAAUACGGAGGAUCCGAGCGUUAUCCGGAUUUAUUGGGUUUAAAGGGAGCGUAGGUGGAUUUUUAAGUCAGUUGUGAAAGUUUGCGGCUCAACCGUAAAAUUGCAGUUGAAACUGGCAGUCUUGAGUACAGUAGAGGUGGGCGGAAUUCGUGGUGUAGCGGUGAAAUGCUUAGAUAUCACGAAGAACUCCGAUUGCGAAGGCAGUUCACUGGACUGCAACUGACACUGAGGCUCGAAAGUGUGGGUAUCAAACAGGAUUAGAUACCCCUGUAGUC
rnacentral:rRNA from 1 species